UACGUAGGGUGCAAGCGUUGUCCGGAAUUAUUGGGCGUAAAGAGCUCGUAGGCGGUCUGUCGCGUCUGCUGUGAAAACUCAGGGCUUAACCCUGAGCUUGCAGUGGGUACGGGCAGACUAGAGUGCGGUAGGGGAGACUGGAAUUCCUGGUGUAGCAGUGAAAUGCGUAGAUAUCAGGAGGAACACCGGUGGCGAAGGCGGCUUUCUGGACAAAAACUGACGCUGAGGCGCGAAAGCUAGGGGAGCAAACGGG
rnacentral:rRNA from 1 species